rnacentral:rRNA from 1 species
UACGUAGGGUCCAAGCGUUGUCCGGAUUUACUGGGCGUAAAGAGCGCGUAGGCGGCUCGUUAAGUGUGAAGUGAAAUCUCCAGGGCUCAACCCGGAAACUGCUUUACAUACUGGCGAGCUGGAGUGAUGAAGAGGUUUGUGGAAUUCCUGGUGUAACGGUGAAAUGUGUUGAUAUCAGGAGGAACACCCAUGGCGAAGGCAGCAAACUGGUCAUCAACUGACGCUGAGGCGCGAAAGCGUGGGUAGCAAACAGG